AGAGUUUGAUCAUGGCUCAGAACGUACGCUGGCGGCACGCCUAACACAUGCAAGUCGAACGAAGUAGUAAUACUUAGUGGCAGACGGGUGAGUAACAUGUGGGUAUCUGCCCUUUGGCCUGGAAUAACACGAGGAAACUUGUGCUAAUACCGGAUAAGUCUUUACGGAGAAAGCUUUAUGCACCAUUGGAUGAGCCCGCACUUGAUUAGUUUGUUGGUGGGGUAAUAGCCUACCAAGACUAUGAUCAAUAGCUGAUUUGAGAGGAUGAUCAGCCACAUUGGGACUGAGACACGGCCCAAACUCCUACGGGAGGCAGCAGUGGGGAAUCUUGCACAAUGGAGGAAACUCUGAUGCAGCGAUGCCGCGUGAGUGAAGAAGGCCUUUGGGUUGUAAAGCUCUUUCGUCGGGGAAGAAAAUGACUGUACCCGAAUAAGAAGGUCCGGCUAACUUCGUGCCAGCAGCCGCGGUAAUACGAAGGGACCUAGCGUAGUUCGGAAUUACUGGGCUUAAAGAGUUCGUAGGUGGUUGAAAAAGUUGGUGGUGAAAUCCCAGAGCUUAACUCUGGAACUGCCAUCAAAACUUUUCAGCUAGAGUUUGAUAGAGGAAAGCAGAAUUUCUAGUGUAGAGGUGAAAUUCGUAGAUAUUAGAAAGAAUACCAAUUGCGAAGGCAGCUUUCUGGAUCAUUACUGACACUGAGGAACGAAAGCAUGGGUAGCGAAGAGGAUUAGAUACCCUCGUAGUCCAUGCCGUAAACGAUGUGUGUUAGACGUUGGAAAUU
rnacentral:rRNA from 1 species